CAUAAAUAUCACGACAUGGGCAUACUCAAGCAAUAUCUGGCCGGCCUCUCGGCAUCCUUUGGUGGCUUUUGCUUGGGCACCUCGGAGGGCUGGUCGGGACCCGUCCAGCAUUCGAUCCUGGCCGGAAACGCAUACAAAUUUACGCCCACCCUAAAUGAGUUCGCUUGGACCGCCUCGCUGUUCGAUCUGGGCGCCGCCAGCAUGUGCAUGCCAUCCGGAGUGCUGAUAGCUGCAUUUGGACGCAAAUUGGUUAUGCUGCUGCUGGCCGUGCCAUUUUUCUUGGGUUGGGCAUGCAUUUUAUUUGCCCAACAUGUGUGUAUGCUGUUCAUCGGACGCUUCGUUUUGGGUGCCUGCAGUGGGGCGUACAGCGUCGCCGCGCCCAUUUACACAACGGAGAUAGCCGAGGUGAAGAGCCGCGGCAUUAUGGGAUUCUUUUUCCAAUUGAUGAUCGUAAACGGAACACUCUUUAGCUUUAUAGCUGGCAGCUAUUGUUCGGUAGAAACCUUUAACAUAUUGUGCAGCAUCAUGUCAAUCGUUAUAUUUGUGCUAUUAAUCUGGGUACCCGAAUCGCCCGUAUAUCUCGUGCAGAAGCGACGGCCCGACAAGGCGCAGAGCGUCCUCCGGCGGCUGCGUGCCGCCGAUGCCGAUAUAAGCGCAGACAUGGCUAUCCUAAUCGCAGAUACCCAAAAGAAGAAAGCCACCUGUGGCCAGGCAUUCUCGCGCAAGACCACAAUCAGAGGCAUCUUCAUAUCCGUAACGCUGAUGGUGUUCCAGGAGUUUACGGGCAUCUGUGCCAUCACCUUCUAUGUGGCCAGCAUAUUCGAGGAAGCCGGCACUGGGAUUCCCACGGGAGUCUGCACCAUUAUCAUUGGCGCUGUUAGCGUCAUAUCGACGAUUCCGGCAACUAUGUACAUCGAUCGACUUGGUCGAAAAAUGCUGCUGAUAUUCUCGGGUGUCUUGAUGGGCAUCACAACCCUAGUGUUGGGCUUCUAUUAUAUGGGCAUGAAGGAUUUGAAUGUCGGCUGGGUGGCUGUGACAUCCGUUUGUGUAUACGAAAUUGGCUACUCGGUGGGCUAUGGCCCGGUGCCGUGGCUGGUUAUGGCCGAGCUGUUCGCGGAGGAUGUCAAGCCCAUUUGUGGCGCCAUCGUGGCCACCUGUACUUGGCUAUUUGCUUUUGCCGUUACCAAAUUGUUUCCGGUAUGCGUGCUGGAGUUCGGUUCGGCGAUCACGUUUUGGGGAUUCGCUGUCAUUUCAUUUUCAUCGUGCAUUUUUGUCAUUUUCUGUGUGCCGGAGACGAAGGGCAAGAGCUUAGAUGAAAUCCAACAGUUGCUCAAAGGCAAAUAAGCGAGGACAAAGAAAGCUUUCUAUUUGAGAAUACCAUUGGAGAAUAUCUUUGUACAUGAUGCUUUUUGAGACAAAAUAUAUCAUUGGAUUGGAUCAACGAAACAUUGUCCGUCUGUGUGCAUCUCUUCGAUAAAACUUUGUUUUAAUGUAUCUUCAAGCAAUAUUUAGUACGGCCUGCCCAGCAUACUUUGGUGGCUUUUGCUUGGAAAUCACGGAAGGACGGAGCACCUGGUCAUUGGAUCUUGGCGCCUCUGUCAUGUGUAUGCCCUCUGGAGUACGAUUUGCUAUUUUAUUGGAUGAGCGUGGACUAGCUGGGCGAGGAUUCUUAUAAAUACUGAGAAGCAAAACGACACCAAAAUCUGCUUUAUCGUCUGAGUGACAUCCCAUUGUGUAUUCAAUAAAGAAUGAUCCGACUCUGUUCUGCUGCGUGGAAAUCAUUAAAGAAAUCCGAA
rnacentral:misc_RNA from 1 species